rnacentral:rRNA from 1 species
GUACGGGAGGCAGCAGUGGGGAAUAUUGGGCAAUGGAGGCAACUCUGACCCAGCCAUGCCGCGUGCAGGAAGAAGGCGUUAUGCGUUGUAAACUGCUUUUAUAUAGGAAGAAAGAGUUCUUGCGAGAACAGUUGACGGUACUAUAUGAAUAAGCACCGGCUAACUCCGUGCCAGCAGCCGCGGUAAUACGGAGGGUGCAAGCGUUGUCCGGAUUUAUUGGGUUUAAAGGGUGCGUAGGCGGUUUAUUAAGUCAGUGGUGAAAGACGGUCGCUCAACGAUUGCAGUGCCAUUGAUACUGGUAGACUUGAGUGAGUUUGAGGUAACUGGAAUGGAUAGUGUAGCGGUGAAAUGCAUAGAUAUUAUCCAGAACACCAAUUGCGUAGGCAAGUUACUAAGACUCAACUGACGCUGAGGCACGAAAGUGUGGGUAUCAAACAGGAUUAGAAACCCCUGUAGUCCC